rnacentral:rRNA from 1 species
AACGCUGGCGGCGUGCUUAACACAUGCAAGUCGAACGAGGUUAAGACUCGGUUUAAACCGAGUGGCGGACGGGUGAGUAACGCGUGGGUAACCUGCCGUAUGCAGGGGGACAACAGUUAGAAAUGACUGCUAAUACCGCAUAAGCUUACAGUAUCGCAUGAUACAGUGAGAAAAGAUUUAUCGGCAUACGAUGGACCCGCGUCUGAUUAGCUAGUUGGUGAGGUAACGGCCCACCAAGGCGACGAUCAGUAGCCGACCUGAGAGGGUGACCGGCCACAUUGGGACUGAGACACGGCCCAAACUCCUACGGGAGGCAGCAGUGGGGAAUAUUGCACAAUGGGCGCAAGCCUGAUGCAGCGAACCGCCGCGUGAGUGAUGAAGUAUUUCGGUACGUAAAGCUCUAUCAGCAGGGAAGAUAAUGACGGUACCUGACUAAGAAGCCCCGGCUAACUACGUGCCAGCAGCUGC